rnacentral:rRNA from 1 species
AUGUCCUGUCCAUACGCUUUAGAAGGAAAUCACAAGUGUAUUUUCUAUACAAAAUCAUCAUGUGGUCAUCUAUAUUACGAACUAUUCACACCAGAUUCAUAUGGAGUGACACUCAUGGCGGUAGUUGAACCAAAGCUAUCUAUCAGUACGCCUAACUAUGGCUUCGUAGUUUUAGCGCAUCCACUAGAGUGA